rnacentral:lncRNA from 1 species
AGCACGUUUACUUUACCGCACAUUUAAUUUUAUUUAAGAUAUGGUGCGGGAUUAACGUCCAUACAGCAAGCUAUUUAAUUUAUUUAAAGUAUGGUGCGGGUUUAUCGUCCAUACCAGUAAUUUAUUUAUCAGCAAUUUAUUUUAUGGAUUAAUUGUGCUGUAUGAUGAGUUUUUACAGUGUGCAGAUCAGGACCAGAAGUUCCUUGAUCCUCAUCAUACAAUUACAUCAGGACUUGAAGAUCCUUGAUGAUAAUAUUGAUAUGAGAGCUGGCAGUCUCUCCGGU